rnacentral:rRNA from 1 species
UUCGUAGGGUGCAGGCGUUAAUCGGAAUUACUGGGCGUAAAGCGUGCGCAGGCGGUUCGCCAAGUCAGGUGUGAAAUCCCCGGGCUUAACCUGGGAAUUGCGCUUGAAACUAGCGGGCUUGAGUGUGGCAGAGGGGGGUGGAAUUCCACGUGUAGCAGUGAAAUGCGUAGAGAUGUGGAGGAACACCGAUGGCGAAGGCAGCCCCCUGGGUCAACACUGACGCUCAUGCACGAAAGCGUGGGGAGCAAACAGG